CAAGGAUUCCCCAGGGAUCAACGCUACCUACACAAGUUUGAACUUGGGGGAACAGUCGGUGUACGGUAACCUAAAAAGGUGAGAUGCUGGGAAAUGUUCUGCCUCAGUAAGAAGCGACUGAAGUGAGCCAGUCUCUGAACAGUGUUUCACUCUCCAUUUGACCCUAUGCUUUCAUUUCAACUUCAAGAGAAUCCUUAAAGAACUUCUGUCCUCAAAGACACAGACAUGAUUAAAAUCUCUGGAUACUUAAUGCUGCAGUAUAUUUCUGUCCUUUAAAUCAAGUUUAGGGACAUCUCCCUAUUGGGGACCUAGUGAACACGGGUAUUUUAUAAGUCUACC